AUUGAACGCUGGCGGCAUGCCUUACACAUGCAAGUCGAACGGUAACAGGUCUUCGGAUGCUGACGAGUGGCGAACGGGUGAGUAAUACAUCGGAACGUGCCUAGUAGUGGGGGAUAACUACUCGAAAGAGUGGCUAAUACCGCAUGAGAUCUACGGAUGAAAGCAGGGGAUCGCAAGACCUUGUGCUACUAGAGCGGCCGAUGGCAGAUUAGGUAGUUGGUGGGAUAAAAGCUUACCAAGCCGACGAUCUGUAGCUGGUCUGAGCGGACGAUCAGCCACACUGGGACUGAGACACGGCCCAGACUCCUACGGGGAGCAGCGGUGGGGAAUUUUGGACGCUGGGCGCAAGCCUGAUCCAGCGAUGCCGCGUGCAGGAUGAAGGCCGUCGGGUUGUAAACUGCUUUUGGACGGAACGAAAAGCCCAGGGUUAAUACCCUGGGGUCAUGACGGUACCUGAAGAAUAAGCACCGGCUAACUCCGUGCCAGCCGCCGCCGUAACAC
rnacentral:rRNA from 1 species